UGGGGAAUAUUGCACAAUGGGCGGAAGCCUGAUGCAGCGACGCCGCGUGAGGGAUGACGGCCUUCGGGUUGUAAACCUCUUUCAGCAGGGACGAAGCGAAAGUGACGGUACCUGCAGAAGAAGCGCCGGCCAACUACGUGCCAGCAGCCGCGGUAAGACGUAGGGCGCGAGCGUUGUCCGGAUUUAUUGGGCGUAAAGAGCUCGUAGGCGGCUUGUCGCGUCGACCGUGAAAACUUGGGGCUCAACCCCAAGCCUGCGGUCGAUACGGGCAGGCUAGAGUUCGGUAGGGGAGACUGGAAUUCCUGGUGUAGCGGUGAAAUGCGCAGAUAUCAGGAGGAACACCGGUGGCGAAGGCGGGUCUCUGGGCCGAUACUGACGCUGAGGAGCGAAAGCGUGGGGAGCGAACA
rnacentral:rRNA from 1 species